AAAUAAAAGAAAAGAAAAUGAAAAAUCUUUUUUUCUCCCUUUUCUUCUUCCUCCAGCCGCGCAACCAUCCGUCCUCUUCUCCUUCCGUUCGCAGCAAGCAGCCGCCGACCAUCCCCUUCUUCUCUUCUCCUCUCUGUUCCGCCAGAUCGAGCCGAACUCAACCGCAACGUCUGUUUCUUCCUCCGUUCACCGAAGCCGAACCCACUUUCUUUUCUUCUUCAAUCCAAAACUGUCGCUGUAACCGUCGGCCGCCGCGUGACCUUCCGCCCAGCGCCGUGUGACCCUCUGUCCAGAUCUGCGUCGCCGUGCCCAGUUCUAAUCGCCUCUGUCUCCGUCGAAGCCAAGGUCGCCGCUGCGACCGUCUCCGUUCGCGAAGCAAACCUUGAACCUGGCCAAACCCCAAGCUUCAUCCGUGCAAGGAAGCCGUCGGUCACCCCCAGUCUAGCCGUGUCUCGCCGUGCGUAGCUCCUCCGGCGUCCGUCGUCCACCGCAGAUCUCUGCGUUGCGUUUCUGUGCAGCGUCCAAUAAGUACGUGUCGCAAAUUUUGUCCGUCGCUCGACACCCUAUUUUCCAGCUGCGGGUCCGACGUUCACCUUCAUAGUUAUUCAAGUCUGUUUAGUAUACAUCUAUUCCAUCUAUUCGUCAUUGCCACUAUCUUGUUGUAAAUCACAGUUAAUGAGAAAAUUGUAGUCUCAUAAUGUUGUUUCUUAACUGCUGUAAGUAUCAAGGUGGGAUUAAUUGAUUUGGGGGUUGUUUGAUUACAAGGUGAUUUUUGGAGAAAGUUUACUGAAGUCUUGAGAUUUACAACAAGUUUCGUGAAAAUGUUACUUCAAACAAUUUGGGUCGGUUCGUUGCACUUUGGUUUGAAAAAGAAGCCCAAGUAAGGUUAUAAGGUAAGGGAUUUUCUACUGGACUCACCUAUGCUUGUGAAUUGUCUGACUGACUAAGGAUGUUGAGAUGAUAUAUAUAUAUACACGUAUGGAUGUA